rnacentral:lncRNA from 1 species
UUCUAGUUACUUGACAAUUUGUUUCUGAUUUAAACAAACAAGACUUAGUUUAAUAAAAGAAAGAGUAACACAAAACGGUUCCCAGGUUGUUACGGCUUCUUCUGCAAGCAGAGAGGCAGUUGUUAAUGACAAUUCCAGAUACCAAAAGACACAUUUUUUUUAUUUUUAUUUUUUUUUAUUUUAUUUUUUUUUACUUCAAAGUUUUGUCCUCUUAGGCAGUCUGAGCAGCGAGUGAUCCCGAGUGCAGCCAACAAAACAGAUAGCAAUGUACAGAGAGCAAAGAAGCAAGCCCGUGCGCGAGGCACGCGUGUUUACGUUAAUGUGCGUAGUCCUGUGACAACAUGAUUCAACACACACCCCUUGGCAUCUUUAAAAAAAAACGGUCUGAACUUCGAAAGGAAAACUUCGUGCUGCUAAAACAUAGGUUUUGAAGACAAAUAGAUGCUUUGCUGCCUCACUUUCAUAGCCAAACACCAACAGACACAAUCUUCCUUGCCCCCAAAGAGUGAAGUCCCCCCUCUCUUCCUUAUGUUUCAAAGGGAACUUUGAAGACUGUGAAUCCAGGUUCCGUUGGCCACCUUCUGGGCUUCUUCCCCAGUGCGGAAGCCAUUCAUCGACUUUGCAAAAGACUGGAGCAUUCCAAGAUCUGAAACUUUUCAUUUUUCUUUUUCUUUUUUUUUUUUCUUUUUUCUUUUUUCUUUUCUUUCUUUUUUUUUUAAGCCGGGACUAUUUUAAUGAAUUUUAUUUUAAUGAAUUUGUUUUUAGUUAAAGAGUAGAUCCUGAACUGUUGUACAUAUUUCUAACUAGGCUGAUGCACAGUGCAAAUUCCUUUUUAAUUUUUUAAAAGUAGAAAUACUAAAAGAAUACCAUCUUAACUAUUCAUAUCAGUAUCCAGUUGUAGCAUAAGGUGUCAAAAACAAGUACACAAAACACUUACUGUUUUAAAUACCUAUUUCCUUUUAACAAGAAUUCUUGUAUCCUCCCUGUGUUUUGAGAUGAACACUUUUAAAUUUUAAAGUUGUACAGUUUUUUUUUGUUUUCCAUUAUUUUAUCUUGUUUGUAACUCUAUGAAAUAUAUAUAUAUAUAUUUUUUGCCAUUUAACUGUUGUAUGUUACUGUGUCUGUAUCUAUAGAAGAAAAAAAUGUUUGUUUUUGGUUCUCUGUGUGAUACCAAUUAACAAUUUAACACUAGCUUUACCUGUCAAAUUCUGCUAGGUCUUCUCUGAAAACUGUUGUUUAAAAAUGAUAUUGCUUGGUAAUAGUGCAAUUUCUACCCUCCCCACCCCCAACCUCGUUUCUUUGUAACUCUGCCAGCCCUUCCCCAAUGGUUUUGUUUGUUCUGUUUUGAGCUACAAUCAUCCUCCCUCUGUGGGGCAGUGACUGUCAGUGUUUCACUGUGCCAUGCCUUGACCCACGAGUGUAUUUUGGCAACAAUAAGGUAAGGUUGGGUAGAAUAGCUUCUGCCCAUCAGUAUUCCUCAGAGGCGGCUUGGGAUGGGCCCAACCCGGAAGUGCGUUAAUGAACGAGUUCCUCUCCAGCCGCACCACCCACCCACACACACACAUAUGUGUGUGUGUGUGUGUGUGUAUAUAUAUAUAUUCAUCAAAGAAAAAAUUCUCAGCACUAACCCAGAAAUAGUGAAGCAGUCAGUGGUGGUGAAAACCAGAAGGCAGACAAGUGGCCGUGGUCUGUAGCCAUUUCCAAGGCAUAUGUUUACUACCGUGCUCAAUUGCUUAGACUGAUCUCAUUCGGGGAGUUCACUCCCGUCUGCUGUUGGAGUGAGUCGUUGAGUUGUAGACCAUCUCAACUCAACUUUGAAAGUUAGUUCUUCUAUUGGCACUUCUUUUUUUUUUAAUUUUUUUAAGUUAUUGGAUGAAUUUCUCCCCCUUAGUUCCUUCAUGAUGUGGCUUGGUGCUAGAUACUAUUUGGCACAACGGCACCAAGAUACCUGUCAGAAUUGGAGUUAUUUCAUACAUCCUUUCUUUAUCCCUCCCUAAAGAAACUUAAGGAACACACACACACACAAACACACACACACUCUUAAUGCAUCUAGGAAGUUUUGUUUUUUGUUUUUGUUUUCUUUUUUUAAUUAAGAGCUAUUUAAAAAGAUGAAUGUGGCCAAAGUUUUACACAAUUGAAAGAGAGCAAAGUAAAACAGACGGCACGCGUUGAAACCUGAGUUUAUCAGGCGUGGCAGGAAGUUGCAGGAAAGGAGCAGUGACCCAAGCCAGUGCACUUGAUGUUCAUGGACAUAUAUUUUUUUUUAAAUAAUAAAUUAAAACAUUUUAAAUAGAAGCAUAAAACUGAGUUGGUUGUUUGUUGGCGCUGAGAUACUGCCCACUGUGAAACAAAGCUUUGACUAGGUUGUUUUGUUUUGUUUGUUUACUUUCUUCAGGGGGGAGGGGGGCAAGUUUGAGUAGGAAAGAAAGCAUAAAUGAACGUGACCCUGAGGUAAAGAGGUAUAUGAACAGCCUUUGCAAUGUACAAAAAAAACAAAAACAAAAAAACAAAAAAAAAAACCCCAACAACAUUAAAAAAACAAAAAAAAAAACAAAUAAAAACAAAAAACAAAAACAAAAAAAAAUAGAGCAAGUGAAACCAAAAAUGAUGUUCUUGGUGUUUUUCUAUAAUGUAGUCUUGUUAGCUUUUUUUUUGUUACUGUAACGAUGCUGAUCUCGAACUGUACCAAAAUACAUGGAGACUAACAGAACCGCAAGGGACUUUCAAACUGAAAAAGAAAUUUGUC